rnacentral:rRNA from 1 species
CCUACGGGUGGCAGCAGUCGAGAAUCAUUCACAAUGGGGGAAACCCUGAUGGUGCGACGCCGCGUGGGGGAAUGAAGGUCUUCGGAUUGUAAACCCCUGUCAUGUGGGAGCAAAUUAAAAAGAUAGUACCACACGAGGAAGAGACGGCUAACUCUGUGCCAGCAGCCGCGGUAAUACAGAGGUCUCAAGCGUUGUUCGGAAUCACUGGGCGUAAAGCGUGCGUAGGCUGUUUCGUAAGUCGUGUGUGAAAGGCGCGGGCUCAACCCGCGGACGGCACAUGAGACUGCGAGACUAGAGUAAUGGAGGGGGAACCGGAAGUCUCGGUGUAGCAGUGAAAUGCGUAGAUAUCGAGAGGAACACUCGUGGCGAAGGCGGGUUCCUGGACAUUAACUGACGCUGAGGCACGAAGGCCAGGGGAGCGAAAGGGAUUAGAUACCCCUGUAGUC